GUCUUGCUGCAACCAUCGUCACUGCCAUAAGAGAUUGACAAUGCUGCUGCUUUAGUUACGUGCUUGCUGCUGCCAUAAAAAUUAGAAGAAAAGGGAGUUACCACGUUUAAUCUAUGUGAAUUCAACUAAUCGAGGUAGGGAUUUUUCUUAAAAUCUAAUUUACAUUACAGAGUUGUGAUAAAUAGAUAUUGAUGCAAAAAGAUAUAUUUCUGUAAUUAUAUUUGUCUUGUGGAUGUAAUGGAUUGUUGGACUGGAUUAUUGGGUGCUUGAUUGCUUGAGUGAAGUACGGUUGUUGUUAAGAAAUGGAUUUGGAAAGUUAUUUACUUGAUUAUUAUGAAAAGUGAUUUUUCUUGGUUUGAAGUUAAACCGGUUUGAUUUUGAGUCGGUUUGAUUUUAUAAAUAAUUUAAUACUUGAGCUGGUUUGGCUUUAUAAAGAGUUUUAUUAUUGGAAUUGGUCUGAUUUUGAAAAUACUUUGAUAUUGGAAUUGUUUGAGAUUUGGAAAUGGUUGAGAAAAGGUUUGAAAAGUGUUUGGAUGGGACCCGAAAAGGGUGGCAGUGUCCGAGUUUUAGAGGAGAUGCUGUCAAAAUUUUAUAAAAUUGGAAGUUUUAUUUAAAGUAACUAAUUACAAAGAUUUUUUUUAAGCAUUAUACGUUUUAAGAUUGAUUUGCCUAUCAAAGAAAGAAUUUUGUUUUGGGAUUGAGAUUGUUAACGAACAGAAUGAAAAAGAGGAGGAUGAGGAUUUUAUUUGAAAUAUGGCUUUGAAAUGAACUUGGAAAUGAGAUUUGGAUUGAUAAAUGAUUAUGAUGUUGAGAAUGUUGAGAUGUGAACUUGGAAUUAUUCAUAUGGCUUAUGAAUUUGAAAUAUCUGAGAUACGAGGUUCCCUGGAUUAAGUGCCGUGGCUUGCCACCACGUGUACCAGGUUGAAAACUCGAUAUUCUGUUGACCCUACGAUGUAAGUGGGUGACCGGACACUAUAUAAAUUCCCGGGAAUGUUACCCCCAUUGAGUAAUAUUGAUUGUUUGAGAAAAAGCUAUGCAUAGACUCUUGGGGAUGCACGUCGGGGGAUAGUCUAAGUACAAUUCAGACUUGUCGGGUUGGCUGGAUAACCGACAGAUGAGCCUCAUCAGCCAUAGGACAGGCAUGCAUCAUAUGCAUUUGUAUGCUUUGCUUGGGUUUGAACUUGUUUUGGUUGGCCUAGUUGCUAAACUGUUCUUAACUGCUACUUGAACUAUUUGCUGUAACUGCUACCUGCUUGUGUUUUCCUUGUCUGUCUUGCCUGUGUUUGUCCUGGCGUGCUACAUUUGAGAAUGAACUUGGAUGCUGAAUUAAUGAUUGUGUUGUUUGAUUGCGUGGUUGACUUCUGAUUGAGAUUUUCUUAUAAGAAAGGAAAGAUUUUGAAUUUCUGAAAGAUUAAACAUUGUUUCUUUGAAAAGGGUUUUGAACGAUUUCCUAUUGGUUUUAAAAGAUUCAUAAGGCAAUGAUAAUCACUGAGCUUGAAAACAGUUUCUUAUUAAAUAUCUUCUUAUGACAACUUUGAAACUCCGUGGUGAGACCGUGUGGUUAGGUUCUCACCCCCUUACAGCUUUACCUUUUCAGGAACCAGAUGAAGAAGCAUUAAGAAGAGUUAUACUACGUUUGGUUUAUAUGUUGUUGUAUUAAUUAGAUUAUUUUUUUCCCCUCG
rnacentral:lncRNA from 1 species